ACUGAAGAAAGGGUAGGAUUACAGAAGCCAGGAUCCUCCAGAUUGCAGAAAAGUACAUUGGUGGGGGAGGCUGCAUUUGUGAGGGAGGUUCUUUCGGAUAGGGGACACAGAGACUAAAGCUUCUGAAAGGUACCAUGGGCUGGAUCCUAGCCUCCAGUGGGUUGGCUCCUUGCUCAAGCAGCUUUCCUCCCUCCAGCACUCCACUUCCCAUACCUGCCUCUCCCUAAGAAGACUAGGAUUAGUGAUGUCUGCAGAGCCCCUCCUCCAUACCCUUAUUCAUUUCUUAUAAUCAUUAUCUCGGUGUUUAUAGAGCUGUAGAGCAGAUUGUUUAAUUCCUCCCACUUAAGGAUGAAAAAACAAGGCCUAAACCUUUAAAUACUUGAGGCUACACAGCUAGAGAGUGGCAGUGCCAAAUGAAUCAUGGGGAAGUGGGAUAGAUGUAAAGUCUCCAGAGAGCAGUGGAGAAGGGGUUGGACACCUCCAUUCCCAACACAUUGAGGGAAAAGGGAGACUGUGAUUAAUGGGCAUGGAACUUCCACUUGUUAGAGAGUUUGCCACAAGGGCCAGUGACCAGGAAGGGGCACUGGAGAACUGUUGACCCAGAAGAAACUGAGGCAUCAAUGGGCAGAUGAACUAAACAGACAUUUCUCAAAAGAAAAAUUAUAGAUGACUAACAAAUACAUAUAAAAACAAGGUCAACAUCCCUAGCAAUCAGAGAAAUGCAAAUCAAAACUACACUGAGAUUUUAUCUCACCUUGGUCAAAAUGGCAAUUUAUCAAGAAUAGAAAUAAUAAUAAAUGCUGGAGAGGAUGUGGAGAGAAAAAGAACUCUUAUGUUACCGCUGUUGACCGGUGAUGAGUCCUUGCUUCCCCAGUGUUGAAGAAUAACACCAGAGAAGCACAACGAGGCAAGGUCAGAGUAGAAAUUAGAAGUUUAUUAAAGGACAGCAGAAAAGACUUCUCCAGGAGGAAGAAGGGGACCCAAGAGGUGGAAUCUGUGGAAGUGCAGUUGUUUCCCCUUUUUAUAGUUCUUUCAGUGAUGGAAUGUAGGUUGGAAGGCCCGAGGGGUGGGACAUAGGUGGGCCUAAGAAGUAAUCUGGU
rnacentral:lncRNA from 1 species